rnacentral:lncRNA from 1 species
ACUUCCCACCUCCGUAUGAACAGGAGUCAAGACAUAGGAAGGCAGGCAGUGUAUUUGACAGAAUUAGCCCCGCUAAACCGAGGCUUAGGCAACAAUAGACUCACCAGCCUAAGGCCACCACCUUCACCUCCAAUGCCCCAGCAGCCGGAAGAAAGGAAUGAAAAUAGGCUCCAGAGGAGGGAGAAAGAGGUUAGGAACCGUCCCGGAACCUCCCACCAACAACCACGGCAAGAGGCCGAUGAAUACGAUUCAGAUGAACAGUAGAGGUCGUAUGACUUGGACAAUGACGAUGAGAAUUUGCCGUUCUCAAGGGAACUAAGGAGUGCACAGGUUCCAAGCCACUAUGUAAUGCCAAAGAUACCAAAGUAUGACGGAAAGGGCGCCCCAGAGAAGCACCUGAAUGCUUAUAAAACUCACAUGAGCCUAAGCGGCGCCACCCAGUUGUGAAGUGUAAAGCUUUCCAUUUAACACUUAGUGGAGUGGCCAAAAUUUGGUAUGGUAGGUUACCGCCUGGGAGCAUAAGAAGCUGGCCCGAGUUCAAGACAACAUUCUUGAAGAGGUUCGCGGUAAGCAAAGAAGGAGAGGCCCCCAUCCAACGACUCCAAGAUAUGAGACAAGCACAUGGGGAGUCCCUAAAGAGUUUCUUAUCACACUUCACCGAUGAGAUGACAUAUUGCGUGCAAGUCACCGAUCGUAAGGUGCUAUCCGCAUUAAGGGGAGGUCUAAACAUGAAUACCCUAUUCUGGAGGGACGUGCAAAACCAAGAUCCCACCACCUAUGAUGCCCUACUUGAGAUGAUGAGGCGAGAAAUCAUCAAUGAAGAAUUGAUUGAGCAUAGGAACAUGGCAAGUAGGGACCUCCCACCUCUUCAAAGGCAGCGCGUUAGAGGGCCGACCUCCCACUUGAUGGACUACCAAAUGAACCAGACUGGAAAUGAGAGUUCUGGCCAAGCACUUGCCACCACCACUUUGAAUGUAGUUCCUACCUUGGCAUAUGAGGAUAUCAACCCAAUUACUAACAUCUAGCAGAUAGAAACCCCACAAGAAUCCCGUAGGGGGAGAGGUCGAGGCCGAGGUUUGGGACCUAGAAAUAGGUCAAAUCAGAACCCACCGGGAUAUUAUGUACACCACCGGUCCUAUGGACACGACAUAGCGGAUUGCCGAGACUAUGCGCACCGCUCCCGGCAGGAACCCCCUAGGGACAGAAAUGAAUCGCUCCAGGCGAACAGGCCCCCAUCCAGGCACGACAACCAACGUGGCCGUGAGGAGGCCGCUUCUCGUCAAAGGGAUGUUUCCCCACGACGAAUGGAGCAUGAUACGGAGAGGCCUAGGGAAGGGUGCAGGCACCGAAGAAAUCGACAAGCUCAGGAUGAGGCCCCUAUCCACGAGGUGGAUACCAUAUUUGGAGGACCAUAUGUUGGCGGUGAAAUAUGAAACGCCAAAAGGAAUUACGCCCCGGAGGCUAAACACCCCCCCUUUGGCAAGCUACAUUGUGGAUAGCAGCUCUCGGAAGAACCAAGUUCCACCCAUUGUCUUCACCCAGGAGGAUGCCGAAGGAGUUCACUACCCCCACUGCGAUGCACUUGUUGUGAGAGCUGUCAUAGCCCGAAAUGGGCUCAAGCGAAUGUUAGUUGACAACGGUAACUCUGUCAACAUUCUAUUCGAAUUCGUCUUUGACAAGAUGAUAUUGGAUCAUAAGUUGACACCUACCACAACUCCUCUGUACGGAUUCACCGGAGAUAGCAUCACUCCAAGGGGAAAGAUAACACUUGCAGUGGAGAUGGGAGAGUCUCUCCAAUCUACGAUGAACUUCAUGGAGUUCAUCAUUGUCGAAAGUCGAUCAACCUACCAUGGAGUAUUAGGUAGGCCAGCCCUAAAAGAAUUAGGAGCAGUCACCUCCAUCCACCACCUAUGCAUGAAAUUCUUGACGAAAAGUGGGGUGGUAAUGGUGAGAGGUGACCAAAGAGGACCGAGAGAGUGUUAUCUAAGCUCCAUAAAAAAUGUAGAGCCCCAGGACGUCCAUAUAGUCAUAGCCGAUAUAGUCAUGGCUGACGUCCCAGGUGAUGCUCCCACUGAACCAGAAGAUAUCAAUAUGAUUGAUGCACCACCCAAUCCGGAGGUAUUGGUCAUCGAUGAGAUCAAUCCCCGCAUAAUUGAACACGAGCCUCAAGCAUCCCCAGUUGAAGAACUUGAGAGCUUCUUGGUCGACCCCCGAGACCCAUCCAAGAUGCUAAAAGUAGGCAAGGGCUUAUCCAACAUUUUGAAGGAAAAGAUUAAAGAUUUCCUAAGUAAGAAUCUUGAUGUCUUUGCUUGGAAGCAUGAGGAAUUGGUGGGCAUAGACCUCAAGGUCAGUUGCCACCACCUGAAAGUCGAUCCUAAGGUUGCCUCGCACAGACAAAAAAGGAGAGCCCUCAAUCCUUAAAGGUACGAGGCUCUGAAGGAAGAGGUUCAGAAGCUUAUUCAAAACGACUUUAUCAGGGAGGCUACAUAACUGAGGUGGGUCUCCAACCCGAUUUUAGUGAAAAAAACACAACAGCAAGUGGAGGGUGUGCAUCGACUUCACCAACCUCAACAGAGCUUGCUCGAAAGACAACUUUCCUCUCCCAAGGAUUGACCAACUAGUAGACUCCACGGUUGGGCACGAGUUGUUGAGCUUUAUGGAUGCAUACUCCGGCUACAACCAAAUACCCAUGCAACCGGCCGAUGAGGAGCACACCUCUUUCAUUAUAGACCGAGGCCUUUAUUGUUAUAGGAUAAUACCCUUCGGGUUGAAAAACGCCGGAGUGACUUACCAAAGACUUGUCAACAAAAUGUUUAUGGACCUCACCGGCAAGACAAUGGAGGUAUACGUGGACGAUAUGUUGGUAAAAAGUUUGGGGGCUGAGGAUCACAUAACGCAACUCAACAGUACCUUCCAAAUCUUGAGAAGAUAUAGGAUGAGUCUCAACCCCCUCAAGUGCGUCUUUGGAGUGGCCUCCAGAAAAUUCUUAGGAUAUAUGGUCAAUCAACGUGGAAUUGAAGCCAACCCUAAGAAGAUUGAGGUCCUAUACAAGAUGAGGUCCCCCAAAAGUCAAAGAAGGUGCAAAGUUUUAUUGGGCGAGUGGCCGCACUUAGCCGCUUCAUUUCCAAGGCUACAGACAAAUGCCUCCCAUUUUUUAAAGUGCUGAAAGCUGGGAAGAAGUUCCAAUGGAACGAGGAAUGUGAAGAGGUCUUCCAAGGCUUGAAAAGGCACCUGGGGAGGCCCCCCUCUUCUCCAAACCGAAGCUCGGUGAGAUCCUACAGCUAUAUCUGGCCAUCUCCAAUGAGGCCAUCAAUUCGGUUCUAACCCGAGAAGAAGGGACCACCCAACUUCCCGUUUACUAUACAAGUAAAGCACUCCUAUCGCCGGAAACAUGUUACCCCGAUAUGGAGAAGCUCGCUUUGGCCUUGAUCACGGCCUACAGAAAAUUGUGACCCUAUUUCCAAGCUCACACUAUCCACGUACUAACAAACUUUCCCCUAAGGCAAGUGCUCCAAAAGCUCGAUGCCUCAGGAAGAUUAUUGAAGUGGGCAGUAGAGCUAAGUGAAUUUGACCUCAUGUUCAAGGCUAGGACAGUUAUCAAGGGUCAAGCCUUAGUUGACUUUGUGGUAAAAUUAGCCAAUUUACCCGAGGUAGGUGAAAUCAUGGAACCCGUCGAGCCCCCUACGUGGAACUUAUUCGUUGACGGGUCGACCGAAGACGUCGGCUCAAGUGCUGGAAUUGUCCUCAUUAGCCCUGAAGGUCACAAGCUAAACUCAGCAGUGAGGUUCGAGUUCAAAGUCAUCAACAAUGUAGCAGAAUAUGAGGCACUUCUUGCAGGCCUCAGGCUGGCCAAGGAAAUGCAAGUAAAGAGGCUACUCAUCAGCAGUGACUCCCAGCUGGUUGUUAGCCAAGUAAAUGGUAACUUCUUAGCCAAGGACAAAACGAUGGCUUCCUACUUGAAAAUAGUGAUGAACCUCAUCCCAUCCUUUGAAAAGUUUUAACAAACCCAGAUCCCUCACAUCGAAAAUUCUCAUGCGGAUGCACUCUCCAAGCUCGCUAGUAGCAAGGAUUCAGAACUACUCACAAUAGUACCUAUAGAGCACCUCCUCCUGCCGUCAACCGAGGCCCCUAAUGUAAUGUGAGUCGCUGGAACUCCUACCUAGAUGCAGCCAACCGUAGCAUACCUCAAAGAUCAGGUACUUCCCACUAACAAGCAUGAGGCCUACAAGCUAAGGAGGAGGUCAGCCCACUUCCUCUUCGUUGAUGAUGUUCUCUAUAAGAAAAGCCUCUCCUCCCCACUCUUACAAUGCGUUGGAGGAGAAGAGGCUACUUACAUAUUAAGAGAAGUCCAUGAGGGCGUGUGCGGCAAUCACUCCGGAGGUCUAUCUUUGGCACAAAAGAUAUUGAGGCAGGGGUACUACUAGUCUACCCUGAAAAGGAAUGCCCUCGAGUUUGUAUGAAAGUGUGAUAAAUGCCAACGGUUUUCUUCGAUACAAAGACAACCGUCGCAGGAUUUGACCGCAGUAUCCAGCCUUUGGCCUUUCUCGAAAUGGGGUGAGGACCUCAUAGGUCCUCUACCUAAAGGUAGAGGAGGUGCUAGUUUUGCAAUUGUGGCCAUUGAUUGCUUUACAAAAUGGGCUGAGGCUAAACCACUGGCAAAAAUCACAGAUGCCAACACUUCCAAGUUCUUAUGGAAGAAUAUUAUAUGUCGGUUCGGGAUUUCCUACUCAAUCGUCUCAGACAAUGGUAGACAAUUUAACAACAAGAAGGUCAGGGCACUAUGCGAAGAACUCGGCAUCAAGAAGCAUUUCUCCACGCUUCACCACCCACAAGCAAAUGGCUAAGUUGAGGCUGUGAACAAAACAAUCAAACAUGUCCUAAAAAGGAAGCUUGAUGUGUCAAAAGGGGCUUGGGUGGAUGAGUUGCCACAAGCACUUUGGCCGAUCCGAACCACCACGAGCCCCGUUGAGGUCGGGCUUCCGUCUCCAAGACGUCUGCAUUUUAGUGAGAUGACAAACGAUGAGCUUUGGAGGUGCGACCUCGACUUCAUUGAAGAAAGAAGAGACGACUCCCAAUUGAAGCUCGGCACAUAUCAAAGGAAGAUGACGAAGUACUUCAACACAAAAGUAAAGAAGAGAUCAUUCCGAAUUAACGACUUGGUCCUUAGGAGAGUUUUCAUCUCCUCAAAGGAACCUGGUUCCGAUUCCCUGCGUCCGAACUGGGAAGGCCCAUAUAAAAUUAGAGAAAAGAUCCAGCCUGGGACUUGCUGGAUUGAAGACAUGAACGACAAGGCACAACCCCGUCCAUGGAAUAUUAAACACCUCAGAAUCUAUUACCAAUGAAUGUACUACCUCGCUGGAAUCUUUCCCAGCUUUUGUAACAUUUCUAUGGUUCAAUAAAAUCCUAUGAUUAAAUUAACGUGUUGAAUUACUUCGUCACCUCGGAGGAGAGGCCAGGGUCCCAUCUCUGGGCCACAUCGCUUGAACUCUGAGACGCGUGCACAUGCCCCCUUUGGCGAGGCUGAACGCCAAGGGGAGAAGUCUCAACAUGGCUGCACCAUCCACCAUGUUGGGAAGCGUCAUCACCUCAGAGGAGAGGUCAGGGUCCCAUCACUGGGCCUCCUCACUUGAACUCCGAGGCGCAUGCACAUGCCCCCCUUUGGCGAGGCUGAACGCCAAGGGGAGAAGCCUCAACAUGGCUGCACCAUCCACCAUGUUGGAAAGCGUCGUCACCUCGGAGGAGAGGCCAGCGUCCCAUCUCUGGGCCACCUCACCUGAACUCCGAGGCUCAUACACUUAAAUCAGAGUAAUAUUCCCAGUUCGGCUGCAAUAAUUUAUUCUUAAGAUCUCUUUAGGUUACAGUUAUUAAACUUAAGAACAAUUCGUUUGCUUAAGUCCAAUAUUGGUCAUACUCGUGAGGCCUGCAUACAAUUUAUUUGUUCAAGUGAUUGGAGUCAGGAUACCCAGUUAAAGUUAUUUAGUCCUUCAAUUAACAUUGCGUUCAAUUACUUAAUAAGGCCAACACACUUAAGAGAAAGAAGCAACAUUGAAUGAAAAAGAUAUUAUAUUGAUUUUCAACUUAUAUUACAAAAGGGGGGCUUGAGGCCAGUACAUCAUGGCUAACUGAAAAGAAAACCAUCCUAAAUCUGGGAAGAUGAUGGAGAUGCCUCAGCAGUUGGGACUUCCGCAGCUUGAGCAUCAGAAUUUGCUUCUUCUACCUCUGCUACUUCAUCUCCCACCACUUCAUCAGCUAGGGUUUGAUGCACUUCGUCCACAAACUCCAACCUGAGUUGCGACAGAUCAUGAUUGGGAUACAACUCCUCAGCCUGCUCCAUCACUUCGGCAUAAGCAAAGUUUCUCCAAUAAGUGCUGAAACUCUGGUAGUCUGCGGUAUUGUGGAAGUUGGCGAUGUAGUCUUCCACUGCCUCUUCCCUUGCAUUUUGGGCUUCCUCCCUAGCAUGGGUUGCGUCAUCGACAUACCUCUUAAUUUGGCCCUCGAUAUACUUGUAUGCAUCUUAGGCCCCUGCCAACUCCCUGUUAGCCUUCUCCAAGGCUUCGGCUAUCACCUUCUGGCGGUCAUUGAAAACCUCCACCUUUUUAGUCAAGGAGGCAACCUCGCACUGGGACUCAUGUACCUCCCUCUUCAAUGCUUCUAUCUGAGCCAAGGUAGACUCCAGCUUGAUCGAUUCUUCAACUUUUUGGGCCCUAGCUUCUUCAGCCUCGGCCCUAGCUACCUUCAGCUCCUCUGCAAGGGAGGCAUCCUUCCUCUCAGAGGACUGGGUCCUCGUCUGAAAGUCAGUGAGGGCCUCCCUGCACUCCAGUGCGAGGCCAAAAGUCCUAACACUUUGGCUUACAAGAGCCCUUGUCAAGUCCGUGGCAUUAUAGGCGGAGGCGUGCAGCUGCCACCGAUCCGUCCAGAAUUUAUAAAAACUUUCAGUAGCGCUUCGAAUCUCAGGUGGCAGGGCCUCCACCAAAGUUGGGGCCAAAGGCUCCUCCCUACCGGGAAGGAAGUUCGGAGACUUUCCUUGUACUCGAACAGGUUUCUAUUUUGCAGCCUCCUCCUCGGCCACCUCAGCUUGCCUCCUUGCAGCCUCCUCCCUCGUCUUAUCAACCUCGGCAUGCCUAACCAUUUCAAUUUUAACCGCUUUCGAGGCGGCUUCCAAUAGUUUUGGCAGUUCGGCUUCUUUGCCUUGGGACACAGAACUCCCAAAUUUUCUAGACAAGUUGGAGAUGUGCACCAGCUUCCUCUUCUUCGGCUCCUCAGGGACUUUCUCCUUCCCCUGAGGCUCCUUGGACUUUUCUGGCCUCUGGGGGGUCCCCUCUUCGAAAGCCCGUGAUGUGCUGUCCUUGGAGAGACGCUCCACUCUGCCUUGGACCUCCUUGGCGCCAGUUGACCCCGGCUUCAAGGGCCUCACCUUCACAGUAGAGGUUGCCUUAAGUAUGGACGCCAUGUCAGGAGCUGGGUACUCCUUCCUCUUAAACUUGUCUGCACAAUACAGCUUGUCAGUAUCAAAACGAAAACACAAAAAUAUACAAGUGUGGGAGCUUCGUACCUUUGGAGGCCAUUAGCUCAAAGUCGGGGAAAUAGCGACUUCUGUCGAUGAGGUGGUUGAAGUGGCGAAACUUCAGAGGUCUCUUGUAAAUGUCCUCCAUCACCUCAAACUCCUCCCUGCUCAGCUCGAACCUCGUACUACUAUCUGCAAAGGACGCUUCAACAGUUAGAAAAAUAAAAUUUUUAAUACAGAUUACAAACUUGGGCUGGGAAACUCAUGAGCUUCGUAGUACUGGGUCGGUACUGUGCAAGCCAAGGCUUUGUCCCCCUCCAUUGCAUGCCACCUGCCUCGCACCUAAAAUCACGACUCCUUCCACCCCUUGAUGGAAGAAGGUAGUCCCACCACAAAUAGUGCGAGAGCCCCCCAAGGACUUAGGUAAUACCACCCCUUCGACUCCUUCCCUAUUACCCUAGGCUGGAACAGGGUCAUGAAGAAGUGGAGAGACAUGUCCUCCCCAAGUGAUACUUCCUUCCACAGGAAGUACGAGCCAACCAACUGGCUCUACCCGUUUGGCAGAACCUGGGUCGACGACAGCAUGAAGUUCCUCAGCACUACCCUAAAGAGGGGGUGCAGAGGAAGACGCAUGCCUGCCUUAAACAGGUAUUCACUCACCGCCACACAAUCGGGCCUCGGAUAAUAGGCCCGCUCAUGGGCUUCGGGAACUAACAUUUCCACAUAGUGAGGCACAUAGUACCUCUCCCUAAUCUCCCCCAGCCUCUUCCCUGUCAUAUUUGAAGGCACCCUAGACUCCCCCUACUCUUCGUUAUAGUCAACUGGCUCCUCGGUCAUAGCAUACCUAUCCACCUCGAAAUCCCCCUAUGACUGACUCCAUGGUCCAGUAACGCUACAGUGACCAACUCCCUACCCGAAGUGGACUCCAUCUCAGAAAUAACUAAGAAUGCAGUAAAAGGAGGAUUUUCUGUGAAAAAUACCUACUGAAAAACUACACAAACAGAGUGUGCUAGAAAAGCAAUUAACGGACUUACCUCAACGCCGGAAUGUUUAAGUUCUAAGAGAAGAAAUCAGAUUGCAAGUGUUGGAAAAUCUGGAAAAAGGGAGUUCUCUCGCCUUUUAUAAAGGGCCAAGACGAAUCCCCACCGUCAGAUCAAAACUCAUUCAAUCUGAACCCUUCAUUUCAAAUCAAAUCUGAGGCGUAGAAUUCAAACGGUUUUCCAAAUCUAAGCCUCAGAUUUAAGCGUGUCUCCCACGUACCUCAGCCAACGCAUCUGCUUCUAGAAGCUCCAACUGUUCUAAUAAUUACGAUUUUAAUUCGGCGGCAACAGGCAUCUUGGAAGUCCGAACGGUUCAGCCACCUUUCCUCGAAAACAUGCGCAAAACAUCAAAUCAUUGGUACAACUGCCAAGGAACAAUUAUUGUCAAUGAACCUCGGCUUCAUCUUCAACAUUCAGCCAUCAAGCCUCGCAGGUUCGAUUUCCCAACCACCUCGGCUUAAUCUUCAACUCAGUCAUCAAGCAUCGCAGGUUCGGUUUCCCAACCACCUCGGUUUCAUCUUCAACAUGGAACGGUUCAGCCACCUUUCCUCGAAAACAUGCGCAAAACAUCAAAUCAUUGGUACAACUGCCAAGGAACAAUUAUUGUCAAUGAACCUCGGCUUCAUCUUCAACAUUCAGCCAUCAAGCCUCGCAGGUUCGAUUUUCCAACCACCUCGGCUUAAUCUUCAACUCAGUCAUCAAGCAUCGCAGGUUCGGUUUCCCAACCACCUCGGUUUCAUCUUCAACAUUCAGCCAUCAAGCCUCGCAGGUUCGAUUUUCCAACAUUCAGCCAUUAAGCCUAGCAGGUUCGGUUUCCCAACCACCUCAGCUUUGUUAAGUGUUUUCAUACUUGGCCAACCUACUUGGGCAUAUGGCCCACUCAAUCCGAACCACGUGUUCAAAAAUUCUUUCAAUUUUUACCCAACCCACUGCUUUACUUCAUUAAAGUCCACACAUUACAUAAAUGACUAUACUUGGAGUUUGGGGACUAUUGUUACGUGCUGUCAUACUUGGCCAACCUACUUGAGCCUAUGGCCCACUCAAUUUGAACCACGUGGCGCUCUAACCGAGGUGGUUUGUAUGGUCGAGGCCUGUGAAGAUAGUCGAAGCCCUAAAGACGAAGUAUUACGUGAGUGGCAAAAGCCCCAAAUCUGAAGCCGAAGCAGAAGCCUCCGAACCAUAAAGGAACGCCUUCCAUGAUCACUUCUCCCAAAAGAUCUUCUAUAUAAAGAUCUUGUUAGAAUGAUUGAUGGAACGUUUGUCAUAAGUGUACAUGUCAAGUCUUGUCAUUAGCAUGGGGGUUCUGCAUAAGUAAUAAAUGCGCAGCAAGUUAGCAAGUCAAGGAUGAUGCCUAGGAUUUGAUGUUUGAAUUAAAGAGAUGAGACCACGUGCCACCUCAUCCAAUGACUGUCAUUUCACAUGUACCACUAUAAAUACUUCCAUUGUAUAACAUUGAAAGACUAAUGCAAGAAUCAAUACAAGAAACCACACUUUACUCUCUCUUUCAUAUUGCUUUACAACGCAAUACAAGUUCAAACAUAUUUACAUGCAUAUUCAUGAGCACCGAUUGGUAAUUAUUGUACAAUCGAAUUAAGAACAUCCCGUCGGAUUCCGAACGUUCUCGUCCCGCAUCGUUGAGCUACUCCCACGUCCCUGAUUCGUUCAUUCUAGACCGUCCACGUGUCUUAAGCGUGUAGGACCUUCGCUCACGUGUGCGCGGAUGGGUCCGGUAUCUGAUGGUGAUUUUUUUGGGGUCAACAAUAGCCAUAAACCUAAAAUUGCAUGGCAAAAAACAGGAGUCAAUUUGUGAUGGAAAUUUUGACUUUCGAGAUCCUUCGAUUGCCUACUGAUCAACGUGCAUCCCACUUUGUUAGGAGCCUUCUCUUUUUUAAAAUUGAAUAGCUUUUGACCAUAAAUGAGAAAUGUCAUUUGUACAAUAUUAUCUUACCACAUUAAUGAUAAUGUUAAUAGGUGACAAAAAUGUAUUGUAUGAGAAAAAAAUUACUUUUUAAACUAUUCAAUGACAAUUUGCCACUUUGCAUGUUGGCAACGAUGUUGUCAAAAUAUUAUACUACAAACAUGAUUCAUAAUAACCAUACGUGUUAAAUUUAGCUAGACACAAAAUUAUUUGGACCGGCAUAAAUUAGCUGCUAAAAUGCACAUCUCACGACAUAAUCAGGGGCAUCAAGUGAAUCAAAUGUAUAGAACAAGUUAAUUAGUUUGAUUUGUCUAUGUCGAGUUCAAUUCAUUCAAUGAGCUCAUUCCUUGGCGUUGGUGAGUUGGCUUGUACAUGAACCGCGAGUGAGCUAACUCACUCAAUAAACGACUCGUAUGGCUAAAUGUUGAUCUGCUUGUACCACUUAACGCCCUUAUAAGUCGUGUCAUACUUGACGGGCAUCUUAAAACAUAUUAAGCCUAUGUUUAAUAGGAAUUAAAAUCGAUAUCUUAACUUAAGUUGAAAUCGACAAUUAAUUUUAACCACGUAUUUUAUGAGAUUCACAACUUUUCAACCACAUUUCAUUAAUUUUUAUCAAAAUCUAUUAAAUUUUGAUUUUAAUCCCCACCAAACAGAAGAUACUCAAAUUUGAGACAAGUUCAAAAGAUCAAAAUCGAUUUCUCUCAAUACAAUUAAUUCGACCAACCAGUUGUGUAUGAUUUAUUAUAUUUUGAGAUUUGAGGUUAAUAUAUAAUUUUUAGUUGCGUAUAACACGCAGUUUUUUUAUUACAUGAAAGCUAAAAGAUUAGAAACAAAAAAAUUUCCAGUCAAGUGCUGAAAGGGAUUCAAACCCAACAUAUUAUUAACAAUUUGAAUGUCUUUCGAAUCAAAAACUAUCGGUUCUCCCGAAUUAGGAAACAUACAAGUCGACAUAUCCAUCAACAAAUCAGACUUGAUCAUUAACCAUAAUGUAUUUUUAAGCACCAACGCAUCAAUAUCUUCCCAUGUUCAAUCAUUCUGUAUUGAAGCUCUAUUUUCCAUCCUCCAAAUGGAAAUCUAACAUAUUAACAAUAAAUUGGCCUCAGUUUCAAGAAAUCUAUCCCAAGGAUCUAUUCGAAACCAAGAAUGGAUUCCUCUUGUUUAAUAUCCCAAAUACUUUGGUGCAAAAAACAAUAACCGUUCCAAGGCACUCGGAGCAAAUUUUCUGGCAAAAAGAUAACAAAUAGAAGAUGACUUGUCAUUAUAUACACAAUUUUGGCCUUCAAAAAUUCUCUUCAUGAAUUCCUCAGUUAUAUCUGAUUGUCCAAAAGUAGCAGGGUGAGCACCUCCCCUUGACCAGUCCGUCCACGUUAUGCUUCUAUUUGCCAAUGAAUUUGCAGCCCGAAUAGUCAAUAGAGUCGGAAAAUAGUGUUCAUCCACAUAACAUGCUGGUCGGCAGAACUCUGCAAAUUUUGGGUAGAAUUUAGCAUCUUCAACAAUGUAGAGAGCAAGUUUUCUGUUGAUUUCAAACCAUUGGGACCCUUUACGCCAUUGGGUGAUGUUAACCUCGGGCAACAUGUUGUAAUUAUAGCGCCCUCUCCCGUAUGGCCCCAGGUCAUCAAAUGCACCAAUGAAGCUAUAUUUCGAUUGUGAUAUGUAAUUGUAUACAGUAGUGAAAUUGAAGAGGGGAAUGCAUGACUCGGAAAGUAGAACAAACCACUCGUUAUUGAUAUCAAGCAAGGCAUUAGCAAGAAGUCUUCUCUCUGAGUCACACAUGCUCAUUUUUCCCCAUUCUGAAACCUGAAGAAGAAAAUCACAAAAUCAUCAGCUAGUUUAUGAGAUGAUGGACUAGAAGUAUUUCCAGAUAUCAAAAUGUAGUAUUUAUCCUUGAAGAAACCCAUCAAAUGCUUGUUAAUUUACUCGAGAAGAACCAAGUAAAAAGCAAAAUAAUCAAAAACAUACUAUGGGAAAAUUCAGUUAACCAUGAGUUAGAAAUUGCUUUUUCACUUUGUCUGUAUUCAGCCGUUUUCCCCCAACCCCCUCGGAGAGGAAGGUUUGGCAACUAGUUAAGUAUGUCGCUUGCUCUACUUCCUUGGCCAAAAUAGUGAGGCAGGCAAGCAUCGCUUCCUACUAAUCCGGUCUUGUUCUCUAAAAGCAUAAAUCCCUUACUCCAUUUCCUUUAGUAGGAAUAAAGGGGUGGGAAAAGCAUUGCUUUCUACUUAUCCACGCUCUCUAAAAGCAACUCCCAUCGUUGGUGGACAUGGCACAUUAUAUGAUCAAUAUGACUCCUGUCAUCAAUAUGUUUAACUCUCAGAAGAAUCGAUGAGUGUGCAGCUCCUUGUUAUUCAAACGAAUACUCCCUAUACUGAUCCUUAAAAACACAAUGAACGGGUAUCCAUCCUCCUCCUGUACAUUGCAAUUUCAUGCCAUAAGCUUACUGACAAUCAAGAAUGCACAAGCUUUCCAAUACAUCCCUGUUAAAGAAAUUCACGUACAGGAUGAGAUCCAAUUCAAGAGCCAAUACAGUGGCAUUGUUGGCGAGAAAAUAUAAUGCAGCCAUUUUUGACAAAGUCUGCCCAACUUUUGUUCUACUCAUCACUUUGUGCUUGAUAUAGUGAACAAACAAACAGUACCUCACAUUUCAAAAGCCAUAGAAUGAGUACCCAAAAGUCUAUGCCCUCACCAAAUUGGAAUAGAUUGCUAAAAAAAGUCAGAAUCCUCUGAACAGAGAAUUGAGUCGCCUAUAAAGGAUCUGCUAUGUUCAACUAAGUGUAGACAAAAAUCAUAGUGGAUUAAGAGGUUUAGUCUGAGAAUUCGGAAAUCUAAGAGCACAAACUACAAUGAGUUUCAAAGUGAGUUGGGGGGUUCCACUAUCAAUUAAGGUGUGUAAUAUUUGUCUGACACUGGAACCGAAGCAUGUCCGGUUUCAUAGUUGACAGUAAUGCAGGUUGGAGAACAUAUCAUAUAUUGAUUCUUUGAUGUAGGACCGAAACUGCAAAUCAAUCCAACCUUUUCCUCAUAUUCUGUUUAAUGAAGAGUAUAAUAAAAUCAGUUUUAUAGGUAUAAUGCAUAAGAGAAUAUCCUAGUUCAACCUUUAUCUACCAUGUGAUUUUGAAGGGGAAAGGUAACAAUCAAAGUAGAGAAAAAAGCUCUAUGCCUCUAUCCAUCAGCGGCUAAACUUGUUCCAGGCAUGACAGUCAGAAACGGAUAAAUAAAUAAAACUAGUGAGUAUCACAGCCAACCUAGUUUAAGGAUCCUAUAGCAAAUGGUUGUAAUAUUACUCGGAAAUAGGAGGGUGGAAAGGCUUUGCAUUCAAUUAAUCCCCUGGUGUCAUAUCUAAUCCAGUACAUGGGCUCAUGCUAUCUAGAGAUCGAAACCCAAGAACAAAAAAAUUAAAGAACAAAACAUAACAUCUAUCAAAAAGAAGAUGGUGUAAAACAUAUAUACCUGACUUGGUAUCUGUCUCUUGUAAAAAACUGACGAGGAUGGAAAAUCAGCCUGAUAUGAUGGCAGUGAAUGGAUAUAUAUUGAAUACAAACCCUCAUGACCAUUAAAAAACCUUUCCCAAAGAGGUGCCAAUGGCAAUGGCCCCUUAGUCAAGAACAUGAAUGCAAUCUUUGGAACCCUCUUAAAUGGAUACUUCUUCACUUUGGGUGCAAAAGAUGCCCUCCACAACAACUCCUGAUCACUCAUUGAAUGCAUCAAAUCGGCCGGAGGCCGGAUCCAACCGUCGAGAUUAUUCUGCUCAUCCUCAAUGAAGGGCUGUAAAGUAGGCCUUACUGUAGUAACUAUACUUUGAACUCCAAAAUGCUUAAUCGUAUAGACACUAACUACAGAGAAAGUGAAACAUAAAGCCAGAAAAGGUACAAGCAAUUGAAGCAACCUUUGAGGCAAAACCCUAGAUUGGCUUGUCCUGGUAAUCAUAGUAGGCUCUUUACCUUCCUCCAUCUCUCUAACGCUUCAAAAGUGUCCAAAACUUAUCCUAAUUAAUUUCCUGAAUCACAGCCAAUUCAUAAAUAACAUCAGGAAUUGCCUAAUGCGCACUCUUUUUUCCGCCGUAUGAAUCCAACCAAACACUCAAAAAAAAACUUCAUAACGAGAAAAGAUCUCUCUCAAAAAAAAAAAAUCUAAGCCCUUAAGAGAGAGAAGAAGAAUUCGGAGACUGUUAUCGGAGGAGUUGUCAAAGAAAAUAAAGCGAGAUUAGCAUACAGUGGAUUUACAGAACAUCGAACAAAAGAUGUAGAGCGAGGAGGAAUUUGGGAAGAGAGAUCUGCAUCUAUCCGAAAAGGGUGGCAAAAUCCAGAGAAUGUGAAGACGGGAUCUCGAAAUCUAAAAAAAUUUCAGAAACGUGCGCUUAGAGAUUUUUUUCUGCGAGCCCCCACCCCACAAUUUUUUCAAAUUGUCGAUUUAGAUUGGAUAUUAUUUUAUUAAAAAUUGUGUAAUUAAAAAUAAAAGAGAAGGAGAUUUAAUUUAAUUUAAUUUAAUGAGAUUUAAUAGUGGCCAAACGGGAGAAAUUCUAUUUUUUGAACCGCACAUUCUUCAACAAAACAGUAUUUCAAAAUGUAUUUUAAUUUUUUACCUAAAAAUGAGGCUCAAUUAGCGACAUAAUGUCAGUUGAAUUGUAUCUUUAGCGUGAUUCAAAACUUUCUUUUAUUUUUUAAUUGAGACAGGUCAUAUUAUUAAUUGACUUGAAUAUGUUAUUUAUGUUUAUUGGAUAAACGUGUUUUUUUUAAAAAUUUUUAUUCAUAUAUCUAAUUAAUUUUAUCAUUUCCUUCCUCAUUAUUUGCAAAUUGCAGCAUUACAUGAAGAUAAAUAGGCAUAAAACUUUAUAGAGCAAUCACUGUGAAGAAGGGUCUCUUGUGCGCAAAAGUAUAUAGACAAUGGAGGAACCUGUGAUCCAGUUGAGGCAUUACCCACGAUUUACCCCCUCCAAGGUUCUAGGGGCAACGAUCUUUGGGGUUUAGGAUUUAGUUUGAUGUAAGUUGGGAUACCUGGAUAUCAAAAAAAAAAAUAGGCAUAAAACUUAAAAGUGCCAGGUCCACCACGAUAUUUUGAGAUCACGGUUCCGUUUGAGCCUCUUUUUGGGAAAAGAUAUUUAAAAAUGUGAAAAAAAGGAUAAAUUUACGUGUAAAAUUAUUUUAUUGAAAGAAUUUGUAAUUAAAAAUGAGUUUUUGAAUAAUGAGAUUCAAACACGGGCUUAAUAUUUUUACCAUCCAACUCGUGCAAAUUGUAAGUCAGGAUGGCACAAUCCAUGUUAGGCCCUUGAUGUUGGUUGAGAGAUGCUAUAUAUACAUGCCUACUGAUAAGGAUAAGGUGAAGCCACCUCAGCCCCCUAUAUUUAUCCUUGUCAAAAUGAUUGUGUGAUAACAUUAAUGAUGUUGGUAUGGUACAGCGUUUGGGAAGCGUUUCUAAUCGAUUUAAAUUAUAAAUAAGUAAUGGGUGAUGCUAUACGUACAUUCUAAAGUUUACGAGUACCAUUUCUCAGAAGCAAUAAUGAGUUGUGAAUAAAUGAAAAGUAGUUAUGAAUUAUCUAGAAUGGAUGAAUAAAGAGUACGUAUAAUCAAAAGAGUCCAUAAAAUUCCCACUAAUAAUCAUUUGAGUAAGGUAGGGUGUAAUUUGGAGAUUUGUUGGGGUUGGGUGGUAAGGAUUGUUAAGUUUGUUGAGUCUGCUUUACCAGGCAAGUAUUUCUUUCAAGUAAAAUAGACACGCCAUCCUCUUGAUUGUGUUGGAGAACAUUGGGGAAAAUAAUAGAGAGAAUAAAGAGGAAAUUACUCACAGACCUACUUUUUAAUACACAUUUCAAUAAUUAAACAUAAAGAUUUAUCUUUUGAAAAUCAAGUACACCCACCCACUCUGUGCCUUAAUUGAAUUCUUCCCAAAUCCACCCUCCCAUCUCCACGAAGCCCACUAUCGUCCACUCGCCUGUCAUCAUCGACAUCCAUUGCCUUGUCGGACACCCACUACUCUAUCCCAUCCCACCUCACAUCACCUCGACCUAUCCUUUGCCAUAUUUUCCCAAAUCACAAUUCCCACUUUACCAUCGCCAUCCAUCCUCGAAUCCAUAUCCAUACUCAUUUUCCUACUAUAUUCAAUAAGAGAGAUACAAGAAUUGCAUGGGGUGGAGAAUUGUUGGGGUCUUGGAAUUUCAUAAACGCAGAGGGGAUUCUAGAGAUGGAACAUAUAACAAUGCAAUCAAAGAUAGCCGUUCAGAAGAGCAUUUUUCUUGAUCAAAAUAGUAAAAUGGUAGGCACUAUUUGAUGAUUGACUCAUUCCAUACUUGAAAUAAUCGCGAGAAAUACUUUGAUAACCUGGAUUCCCAUUUCUCAAUGAUAUUCCACAAUCAAGAUAAUUAACUGAAUUUACAAUUGCUUCGAGCAUCUCAAGCGAUACCUGAGCCUCAACAUCCCUUGGCCUAAGAUAAAAAAGAUUGUGGACCAUAGGUUGUCUCAAGCAAAUCUCAGCCACAUCAAUUUCAAAGUUUAAGUCAUGGUGUCUUGUGAAGAAGCCCCAUCCCAAAGUAUCAUAUAUUAGUGCAAUUGAAGCAUUAAUUAUCCUUCGGAUUGUACUCGACCGAGCAUAAUUUUUACUUUAUAUCUUCUUGUAAGAUAUAGCUCUGCAACAACCCAAUAACAUUGGAGUGUUGUUAAACAAAUUUUUCGUUACAAAAGAGGUAAUAUUGACACAAAAUUAUUUUAUUCAUAAAAUUUGAAAUCUUCUUUAAUGGGAUGUGCAUAUACAAUUUAUAUCUACAUAAAGUUAAAUGAAAAAUAGAAAGCAAACCUUGGCAUCAACAUUUUCAAAUUAUUAUGUAAUUAUUGUAAUUCAUGAAGUUAGUCAAGAAUGUGUAUGAUUAAGGAAUAUGGUUCAUCAUAUCCAAAUGUAAUACAAAAUAACUUUAACAAAAGAUUAGUCAACAAUAUUGUAUGAAGACAAUAUAACUUAUAUUCCACAUUCAAAGGAAGCUAUAUCAAAUGCUACAUGGGAAAAUAGAUUUCUUCAAUAUUCUUGUAUGCACAUGAGUUAUAGAAGAAUAAUGAUAUCAUUACAUCGAUGUUCAACAAGUUCACUAUAGAGAUAAUGUAACAAAUUAUUCACAAAGCAUUAUUGAUAUCUUUAUUCAAGAAUUGAUACACGAGAUUUGAAUGCGUCGACUGAGAGAGUUUUAGAGAUUAACAUUAUGAGGAAUAGUUGUACUCUUUUCCUUCGUCAAGACUUUGUCCCACUAAUUUUUUUUGGCGAAGUUUUAAUGAGUCGUGAUUUUAUUAACACUCUAAAAUUGUAACAAUUAAUUGUACGUUUUUUCCCUUCGUUUCAUUUUUUUCCCUUCGAAUUGAAUUUUUAUCUAUGUUUAACGAAUUGAUUACUGUGUAAGCAAUCAUCAAAUGAGAUGUUGUAAGAUUAUGAGAUAAUUAAUAUUUAUUAUUUAUUUAAUAUUAUAAGGAUAUUUACAUAGCUAUUACUUACUAUAAAAGUUGGUAUGGUUAAUCGAGAUUUUGAUUGAUUUUAACAAUCCUUUUAAAUUUAGGUAUCAUCAAUUUAAAUUUUAAUGAAUUUAUUAAAAUUUAUUUAGGUGUCUCUAAUUGAGAUUUUAAUGAAUUUCAAUGAAGUUUUUUACAAUUUUGGUAUCCUCAAUAACUAAUGUGCUUAUAAAGAUUUCAUUAAUAGAUGGAUUUUAAAAGAUUUGGAUGAAUUCAAACUUAAAAAUAAAUAAAACAAAAUAACUAAUGUGCUUAUAACUAAUGAAGUUUUUUACAAUUUUGGUAUCCUCAAUAACUAAUGUGCUUAUAAAGAUUUUAUUAAUAGAUGGAUUUUAAAAGAUUUGGAUGAAUUCAAACUUAAAAAUAAAUAAAACAAAAUCUUUUGAAAUUCACCAUUUUUAAUGAGAUACUCAUAGAAUUUGUGAUAAUCUAUUUAAAUCUACGAAAUUCAUUAUAAUUUAUAAUCUUUUAAAAUUCAUCAAAAUUUUAGUUGAGGACUGAAACGAAAAUUUUUGAAAAAUCUUGAUCUGGGCUCAAAAAAACCGUCAAAUGAGCACUACAACCACCAAGGCUCGAUCCAUAAUGCUACACCUUCAAUUGCCUCUUUUUACUCACUCUAGUUACCCUUCUUCUAACUCAAAAAUGACACAAGGAGGUGGUAAUUUGUAAAUUAUAAAGAGAUGAAGGGGAAGAUAAAAUAAUGGUUGAAUAUCACUAUAGAAAUCACGUCACUUGACUGCCUCUUUCAAAUCUCUCCUCUCUUGCACAAACACAGACACGGCUGAAAAGAGGAAGACAAUUGAUCUACAUGAUAAUCAAUGAGGAAAUGUCACUAGGUAUCUAAAAUUUAUUAAAAAUUCCCUUUUUACAUUUCAAAACUUUUUUCACCCAAUAUACUGCAAUAUAUGUAGUAUAUUUGAAAAAUGGAAAGUAUACCCAAUCCCAUAUUUAAGAUAGUAAUAACUGAAAUUAUUCCACCAAACACAUCGUAUAACCCACCCACAAAUUACGCCCUAGUAAAUCCCCAUCUUCAGCUUUACCAUUGUACCAUUGAACAAAUAAUUUUCGAAAACCAAAAUUAAAAACUCUUCAAUACUCUCCAAGAUCUUCACAAAAUUGUAUCUCGAUUCCUUACUUGAGGGUUAAUUCUUUUGAUUUCUCCUCAUGCUGAUGUUGGUUGGGAAGAUGAUGAAAAGCAAUUCUAGCUAUAAUAUUGAAAUCCAAAAUUUUCGAAAUUCAAUUAUAAGUUAACAAACAAAAGCACAGUUAUCUGUGUUGGGCACCAACCCUGUUUGGCACUAGUAUUCUUUUAAUUUGAAUUCCUAAGUACAGGUAAUGGUUUAAGAAUUCAUAUAAACAAUUAAAGUUGCGAUGACUAACAUACUUCUAUGGCUGAGGUGAAGAUAAAGAAGAAAAUUUGGAGAUCUGAUUUGUGUUCAAGUGCACUGAUCAUUGACAUCAAGUAAAUAAUGCUUUAAAAUGUUAAAGUAAUGAAAAUGAUACGUUCGAUAUAGAAAAUAUUGAACAUGCUUUAAACCUUGACUGAAGCAAGGACAUAGAUUGAGGAUGAAUGUUUCUAACAUAUGAUGGUGUGGUAUACAAAUACUCUUGGCAGUUUUGAAGUCGAGUUUUAAAGCAUCUACGAACGUUGGUCUCGACUCUAGAGAAGCUUCUCGGAGUUGGUUGUGAUAUGUUUUCUUACCUUCUUAUUCAAGGUUUGCAUUAUUUAUAUUAUCAACUCCAUUAUCUUUAGUAUGCAAGUAACCAUACAAAGGUAUAAAGGAGAGAGAGCAUGAAAAGAGAAGAAGGAAACAAUUUAUUUCAUUUUAUAUCUUGAGAAUACAAGCUAUUAAUUCAGUGGUAAGCAUAGAAUACAAUAUAUGAUGUCCCAAACUAAGAUAAAAUUAACUUCCUUUCCGCUUCUCUAAAAUUUAGCUUAUGCUCACUCUCUUAUCUUCCCAACUUUUUGUGCAUUUUACAAUUUGCAUAUUUGAUCUAGGAGGUAAUAUCUCACCAUGACAUCGACAAUUACCUACUUUCCAUUGGGUAUGAUCUCCAAGUGGUACAACAAAACCAGCUUAACAACCCAUGUAAAUAUCCUUCGUGCGUAUUGGGAACAAAAAUUCUAUGCUUGUUCACCUUUGUCGUUGAUUACAGCUAAUCCGUGUUUACACGAGACUCCAUCCACCUGAAAUUGAUUGCACGUGCAUGUAAUCAACUUGCUGUGAGUUCUCAUCCGACAUUUAAUACAAGAAUUCAUUUGAUGUAGGCAACCUGAAAAUCAUGAAUUCCAUGUUAAGAACUACGUACGAUCUCAUGUCAUUUGUAAUAAAUCAAUGUAAUUCUUACAAUUACUGUACGAGUACAAAAUCAUUAUAAAUGCAAAGUAAUUUUUUCAUUGUGCGAUACUCUUGUUCUUUGAAAACCACAUCUAUACAACGUUCAUCGAGUCCAUAUCUACAUCUACACAAUAAUGUAGGUUUCAACACAAGUUGAUAUGAUCAGGGGAGGGAUUUAUACAUAGUGAUCAAUGAUAGAUAUACACACUUCAUACGAUACAUAACAUCAUGUGAUAUCAAUAGAAUCCAAAUCAAUAUUAUAGGACUUUUAAAAAUUUUGGACACAAUAACCAAAUCAUUCCUCAUGUGUUUUACCCAAUAACCCAUUAAGUAUAGAAAUAAUUUUAACACACAGUCCAAUAUAUUACUCAAUGUAUUUUGGUGUAAGAAUGAUAAAAUGAAUUACCACGCACCGAUCGGAUUCAAGGAUUACAAGCUAAUCACCUACGAGUAAAUAUAGAAUACACAAAAUAUCAAUAAAUAUAGAAAAUCUAUUAAACACCUCAGUAGUCAAAAAUAUAAGAAAGAUAAAUCCUACAAGAACCUUGAUAAUCGAAGAUCGGAGAUGGCAUUUAUUUAAUUUUAACAAUUCGCUAAAUCUCUUCAUGGUGAUGGUGAUUUUUGGAAGAAGAAUCUACUGCUAUUGCAAUGUCUCACUCAUUUUGAAUUUGAAAAUUCACCCAUGAAGCAAUAAUCUAUUGAUUGCAGUCCAUGAUUUUUGGCUAAGUGUUUUCAAUUACGCCUCAAACUAGGAAAGGUGUCAGUGAAUAUUUCUAGUUUUUUUAUGUCUAUGCGUAGUAAAAUAAAUAUAUAAUAUUAUAUUACAGUAAAAAAUGAAUUUGUUUUUUAUUUGUAGGUAUAUAUGAAUUUUUUCCAUCAAUGAUUAGGUCACUAAUUUGGCCCAAACACUACUAUACAAAAUGGGCCAGAAGACAUUAAUUGGAUCACCAACUAAAAGACCAAGCUAACUAACUAAAUGGGCUAAUACAUAACCAAUCAACAAAAGCCUAAACCAGUAACCACAAGGACAAUUGGGCUAAACCCAUGGCCAUCCUAAAGUGUAAGAGGUUGUUUUCCGAUUGAGUCAAAUCUAUGAUGUCGUUAAAUUAUUCGAUAAUUGUUUAAAAUCAUAGCUUGAAAUUUAUUGGCUAUCAAAACUCAGUAAGGACAUCUUAGAACCAUAUAUUUGUGUCCACUAUUAUAAUAAAAUCGCGCAGUAACAUAUUCAAUUAAGACUUUUAAAGAUUUUUUGAAAUUAAAAAGUUUAUGAGUAUUUUAUAUAGAUUCUCUAAAAUUAUUUGUGUAUUUAAUUUGGACUUUAAUAAACUUUUAAAAAGUCCUUUAAAAUCACGAUUUAUUUAAUUAAAACAUUUUAGAGGUCUUUAUAAAUCUUGGUGUAUUCAAUUUGUUAAUGAUUUUUCAAAACUUUUAAAAAGUCUCUAGAAUACUAACUUUUAAGCAAAAAAUAAAAAAAGAAAACCUUAAAAUUUGUUUCUCAUUCAUCCUAAAAUUUUGAGAGACUUUCAUAUUUAAAAAAAAAAAACGAUUUCUUUCAAUAUUUCUCUUUUCUUUUUCCUUCUACGAACAUUAGAGCCAUGAUUAAUUAAAUAUUUUUCAAUCGAUUAUAUUUGUUUCUAUUUUUCUUUUUUUCCCUCUAUCUCUCUUUUAUUGUUUACCUAAAUUUUCUAUAAAAAUAUUAAAUUGUAACUAAAGUUUUUUAUGAUUUUUUUCUUUUUUCAUCUAUUUUUUACAAAAAAAGAUCUAUUUGUAAUUCAAUUAUAAUAUCUUAUAGAAAAAAUAAUUUAUAAUUAAAUUUAAAUAUAUUGAUUUCUUCUUUGCUCUUUAAAGGUAUGUCAUAUUGAAAACACUGAACAUUAAUUAAUUUAUUUUUAUUUUCUAUCAACGAAUAAUGAAAUAUAAAUAUUAUUUUCAUAUUAAUUAUUUAAUUAAGGUGACUUAAAUUUUUACUUUUAAAAAAUAUAUAUAUAUAUAUAUAUUUCUUACACAGGAAGGAGAAAAUGCAUUGUGGGACCUACCACCUCAUAUGUGAGAACUUCACAUUUUAAAUGAAAGUUUUCGAAUAUAUUUUGAAUUCUACAAAAGUCUAUAGGAGUUUUAAAUUGAAACUAUAUAAAAGUUUACGAAAGACUUUCAUUAAUCCCAUACAAACCCAUAAAAUUUCACGAAAUUCACAGUAGUCAUCACUUAAAAAAAGCUUAUAAAAGUUUUCAAAAAUCUCAUUGAACACACCCCUACUUUAGAAAGCGUCAUCAACUGAGAUUUUGUUGGAUUUCUAAAAUAUUAUAAAUUCUGAUGAAUUUCGUGAAUUUAAUUAGAUUUCCAAAAAAAUCAUAAAAAUCUCAUUUAAAAUGUUGAAAUUUGAAAAGAGUUUGUUGUAUGUAUUUUUAAGUUUGAAAUUCAUCUAUUAAUAAAAUCUAUAUAAUUCUAUGAGUUAUUGAGGACAGCUAAAUUUUAAAAUUUCAAUUUGGCAUACUUAAAUUUUAAUGAAAAUUCAUUAUAAUCUCAACUUUGGGACAAGGUGGAUUUAGAAGGAUCUUUGAACCUCUUGUAUUUCUCUCUUAUUAUCUUUUUAUUUCACAACGACCAGUAUUUUUUUUCCAAUUUAUAUUUCUUAUUUGCAUUUUAAUUAAUUCAUCUGCUUCAAGUAUUUUUUUCGAAUCUUGUCGUACAUUUCUCUUUAGACUUGAUUAACUCGUGCAGACUAUAGUAUACGCCUUACCGCUUGGACUCAAUGGGACUUGAGCAGCUAGAUUAACUCGUACACAAAAUUGAAAAUACAAAAUUCAAUAAAUAAAUAAAAAUGCUGAUGUUAAUUGUUUGACAAUAAUUUAAUGUUAAAAAAAUAUAAAAUAUUUUACUUUUAAUAUUGUUAAUGCAUCUAUUUAGAAAUAAAAAUGUUUUUGAAAAACAAUUUUUACUUAGUUUCCGAAUGGUUUGAAAAUUCUAUCAAAUAUUAGGUUCAUCAAAAAACGGAGGCUCAUAUUAAGUAUAAUAAAAAUCAAUGUUUGUAACAUCGGACUGGAUUAGCAGGGUCAAUCGUUAAAAUAGGGAACUGGACCAAAAUUCGAUCCAAUUAUACUAAAUUAACCGGUUAUUUAAUAACCGGUCAAAUAACUAGAAAACGGUCAAUUAAACAGAAAACUGGGAACCAGUUACGGUUUUUUGACCGGUUUCCACAACUUUUUUAAAAAAGUGAAAAUAAAAAACUAUAUAAAAAAGGUUACCUUAAAGAUGGAAAACCUAUAUGCUAACUUUUUUACCUAUGGAGUUUUUUUAUAACCAUUUCUUGAAUCCCAUAAUUGAUAAACUUCUAAUGUGUGAUUGACAAAAUUUAGAAACACACUUUCAAUACACUUUCAAUGUGGGAUUGACAAACUUUAAUAAAGCACACUUUUUGAAUAUUAUUUAUGGCCACAUGGUGCAUAACUACAAAAUUAAAUUACUCAUUUCUAUAGAUUGCUAAACAUUUUUUUUUUAAUCUUACAAAUUAUUUAGUAAAACUGAAAUGAGUUUUUAAGUGAUCUAAAAAAUAAAAACUAUUAAAAUUUAUAUUAAAAUCAUACAUUUGUAUUUAUUUUGAAUUGAUGGUGUAAAAAUUUAAUUAUAUAUUGUUGUGAAAAUAAAAUUUAAAUGUUUAUGAAUAUUUAUUUAUCACCUUUGUUUUAAAACCAGUUCGAUCUCGAUUGAACAUUUUGACUCUCGACCCUUUCUCUUUACCGCGUCGAUGCCCAGGCCGAUUUUUAAAACAUUGAUAAAAAAAAAAAAAUAAAAAAAAAAAAAUAAAAAAAAAAAAAUAAAAAAAAAAAAAUAAAAAAAAAAAAAUAAAAAAAAAAAAAUAAAAAAAAAAAAAUAAAAAAAAAAAAAUAAAAAAAAAAAAAUAAAAAAAAAAAAAUAAAAAAAAAAAAAUAAAAAAAAAAAAAUAAAAAAAAAAAAAUAAAAAAAAAAAAAUAAAAAAAAAAAAAUAAAAAAAAAAAAAUAAAAAAAAAAAAAUAAAAAAAAAAAAAUAAAAAAAAAAAAAUAAAAAAAAAAAAAUAAAAAAAAAAAAAUAAAAAAAAAAAAAUAAAAAAAAAAAAAUACUAUUAUUAAAACCAGUCAAGAAUAGUCGCUUCAAAAUUUUAUUUUUGUUUUUCCUAAUAUAUUUUACUAUUGGUUUGAAUUUUUAUCAUUUUCAAAUCGAUCUCCAAUCAAUGUACAUUCAAGUGCUUUUUGUCAACGCAACAGAAUGCUAUAGCAUUUAAUUUAAUUUUAUUUUUAAUUUUUUUCUUUUUACUUUUAAAUGGAAGGAAAAGUAUUGAAAUCCCUACUCCACGAAUAAAGCUUUAUGAUGGGGAUCUACAUAAUUUAGAUACAAAGUUAUUCAUUCUCCUGUACAUAUUUGCCAUGACAUGUCCAGGAUGUAUAGUCAAGUAAUAUGCCUUGGUGCUUUUGUAGGAGUAAAGACUUGGUGCUCUAUUUUCCUUUAGUUUCUUUAGCAGUAAGAAUUGAUUAUGGUAUUUUUUUGUAAAUGCGGGACAUAUAGAAAUUCUUUUGCCCGAAGACAACAAUCUGAAUGAUAAAUGCUUAAGGGUAGAAACUGAAAUUAUUGUGCCGAGUGUUGGAAUGAAGUUUAACGAUGAAAUGAGGUAUCUGAAUUUUACAAGAACUGCAUACAUCAAAUCGAUUUUCCCAUUAGAAAAGAAAAUUAGAAGAAAGGUGAUGACGAGGUUGUAUGUUACGUAACCUUGACACAGGGCCGGUCCUGUUAUUUUCGGGGCCUGAGGCGGACUUUGUAAAUUAGGCCCCCCAAAGGUUAACGUAAAUACAAAAUUUAACGGUGUAUCAUGCAACCGAUUGUUAACUUAAAACUAAACAAUAAAACAACAAACAAAAUAUUGAUUAAAAUCCAAGCACGUUAAAAACCCAUUUAAAAUGGCAAGAACUGUUCAACCCUUUCAUCCUACUAGCAAUUUUUUUUCCUGUUUGCACUCUCUGUCGAGUUAAAAUAAGCAAUUAAGCAUACAAAAUAAGUAGAAACUCCCAUAAGUUCCUCUUAAAAACUAUAAUUUCCAUUAAGUCCAAAACGGCAAAACCUGAAAACCCAAAACUUACAGUUUUCCCCUUUUACAACUAAAACGGAUCAAUUAUUUAUGCUUCUCCCCAUUAUCAUCACAGCCUCUUGAAUCUUGAUUAUGCACAUAUCCAUUUAAAAUACGUAAUGAUGAAAAUCAAAAACAACAAAAGCAAAAAACAAAACAAAAAAAAAGAAAAACAAGAACAGAAACAAGAAAUGAAUAAUGACCUACUAAAUAGCUAAUAUAGCCACUACCCAUCAGGAUUAUUUUUCCGAAACCAAUAAUAGCUACAAAAUUAGGAAGCCAUGACAAGAAGUACAGGUUCACUUUGAAGAAGUCAACAAAUUGCCAUUUAAUUCCAAUUUUUUGAACUAUAUUCUCUGAAUCUCAAUAACUAGAAAAAAUGAAUAAUAUGAUUUAAAACACAAAUUAAAAAAUACUCAACAUAGAACAAAAACAAAGAGAGAGAGAGAGAGAGAGAGAGAGAGAGAGAGAGAGAGAGAAGGCACUCACCAGUCACUGCACAAUCUGAGAUUUUGGGAAGUGUCGGCGGUGACUCCUCAUCCAGUGGUCAUCGCCUUUCGGCCGUAGCAAACUUCACUUUGCAGUUCACUGACCACUGUUCGCAUAAAUCCCAGCUGCUGUGGCUGCCUCUAUUUGGAAUGGAACUAUGCAAAUUGGAAUGGUCUAGGGUUUGCCAUUUAUGGUUUGGAAUUGGAUUAGAUAACUUGGAUUUGGACCAUUCGUUGGUUUGAGGCUAAUUGAAUAUAGAGAAAAAUUCAUAAAUCCUAACGCAAGUAUAGGUGAUUUAAAAACUAAGAUGACAAGUUUGAAUGUGCAAAAAUCAGAAAUAUUAAACAAUCAAUCAGUUACCCAAAAAUCAGCAUCCACUUACCUUCAAAUUUGGGAUUCUAUAUCAUAACAGAAUUACCUUCCACAAUUAGAAAUUCGUGUCUCUAAAAUCAAGCAUCCGUAUGAGAGAGAGAGAGAGAGAGAGAGAGAUGAUUCUAUUACAAUUAGUCCCUGAAAUCAAGCAUCCUGGCAAUUUUUGUGUGCCAUGAGACUUCUUCUAUAACUGUUAUUAUGGUCUAAAUGAUAGAAGGCCAUGGUCUAAUUUGUAACUUGUAAGGGGUUCGGAUUAUUAAUUGCCUGCUACUAGUUUUUCUUUUUUCAAGUUUGUUUGAUGCUUCUGAACAUGAGCACAAUGCUGCGCAUCAUUCCAAGUGAACGGAUUUAGGGAUUAUGCAUGUUUGUUCGUUUAAAUCCUUGAACCACGUAAUUAAUUAAUUAUAUAUUUCAUUAAUUAAAUAUAUUAAAAGCCACAUAUCUAUACAAUUUGGUCACAAAUUCGUAACUUAAUUAGUCACAUAUUAUUUUUCGAUCACAAAUCAUAAUUUUUAAAUAGCACAAAUUAUUUUACAAUCACAAUUCAAAAUUUUAUAGGUCACAGUUUGUUCAUCAAUCACAAAUCAAAAAUUAACACGUCAUAAUUUAUGUAUCGGUCACAAAUCACAAGGUCACAAACUUAUUAGACAGUCACAAAUUAAUAUUUUUUUAGGUCACAUUGGUCACAAUUUAUUGAACCACGUAACUAAUUAAUUAUAUAUUUUAUUAAUUAAAUAUAUUAAAAGUCAUAUAUCUAUACAAUUUGGUCACAAAUUCAUAAUUUAGUUAGUCACAUAUUAUUUUUCGAUCACAAAUCAUAAUUUUUAAAUAGCGCAAAUUAUUUUACGGUCACAAUUCAAAAUUUUAUAGGUCACAAUUUGUUCAUCGAUCACAAAUAAAAAAUUAAUACGUCAUAAUUUAUGUAUCAAUCACAAAUCUGAAGGUUACAACUUAUUAGACGGUCACAAAUUAAUAUUUUUUUAGGUCACAUUGAUAACAAUUUAUUUUCAUCGGUCGCAUAUUUUUUAUUGGUCACGGAUUAAUCAAUUUAAUGGUCUUCAAUGUAAAAAGAUAAUUUAGUUUAUCUCAGUUUGACCACUAAAAGCAUUAUAUUAAAAGUUAUUUAUUUCCUUGGAACUUAGAUGAAACUUGUAGCUUAGCCACAAUCUAGUUAGAUAAUAAUCCAUCCAUCUCCCUCACUAAGAUCUAGGGGCGGGGCGGUGGGGGCAUUCAAGGUUGGAGUUCCUUUUCAGAUAAUAAUCCAUCCAUGAUGCAACAGACAACAGUGUCAGAAAUCUCACUAACUACGCUACUUGCGUCCCUCACUCCACAAAGUAGAAGAAGACCAUUAGAUUGUGCACUUGCAGUUGUGUACCUGGGCAAGGAAAUAUGCAAGAUUCUCCUUUCAUUCUGAUCUUUGUAAUAAUUCCCACUAAUUUAUGCAACAAAAUUCAUGCUUCUCGAUGCUUGUCCUAACAAUAUUUGUAGCUGCUAGAGAGCGAGAGGACGGGUGGAGACUGGAGAGAGAAGAUGGGUGAGAGGAGAGAGGAGAAAUUGGAGAGAAAAUAUAAUUAAUUAGAGAGGCCAGGUGGAGAGAGGGAGAGAGAAGACUGGUGAGAGAAUAAAUUGGAGAGAGAAAUUGAUUAGAUAAAGAAAUUGGACUACUGGAGAGAGAAAUUGGAGAGAGAAGACGGGUGAGAGAAUGAAAUUUAUGUAAUUAAUAUUUAAUAUUUAAAUAUAAAAAUUCUGAUUUUUGAAAUGUUAUACUACUCUUCUUAUUUUUGAACCCUAGAUUUUAACUCUAGGGUUUUGUGUAAUUACCACUUGAAUAUAAUACAUAUGCAUCCAUUUGAUAUGGGCCAAAUAUCGUUAAACAAAAAGAGGCCCAUCACCAAACAAAAGGAACAAAAAUGUCGUUAUGAAUUUCAGUCGUCUUCCCCGCCUCUUCCUCUUCAAUUCUGGAACUCCCGGCACCCGGAGGCUACUGAACAUUCACUCUCCUCCUUCCCAACCUGUAAAUUCUGGCUCAGGAAAAUGAUUUCUCCUUCCAGUUUUUUCAUUUAAUUGUCAAAAAAAAAUUGGCGAAAUGAGGCCCCCUUCCAGUUCUAGCCAGAGGCGCAGGCCUCAUCCGCCUCGCCUCAGGACUGGCUCUACCUUGACAUGCAGUUGGGAAGGGCGUCGAACUAGUGGUACAAAUGCUCGUCCAAAGCCUCAACCAACUAUAUAGACUGGGUGUAAAAGUGAGAUUGAUAGGACGUUCUGAAUUUAAUGGAACGUGGCAUAUUAACAUUAUCUAUCUUGAGCACAAUCACCGCAAUCCGGAUCGAGGGUCACCGAUGAUUUGGAUGGAGGAAAGAGAGACACACAACAUUGAUAUAUACAUAUAUAAUGGGUUGGAUACCAUAAUGGGUUUGGUUUAGAUGGAAAACAAUAGUAAAAGAGAGAGAGAGAGAAUUUGUUCGACCAUCAGUCCCUUUUUUUCUUAAUUCAGUUAGGUCUUUUCUUCAAAUAAACGGAUAAUUCUAAAUUUACAUCGCCAGUUAUCGAAUGUUCGAUAAUAUGCCCAUGUGGUGGGCACCUAUGCCGCAACUAAAAAAUAUGAGUUGUACCAUUCAUACUAAUGAUUCACAUAAAAGAACUCGUACCUAAGAAGUUUUUGAUUUUCUUGGAACUAGUUUCGAAAUGUCCUUUUCAACGAAGUUUUCUUGGAGCUUCUUUACUUUUGGAGUAAUUGGAUCCAAGGUGAAUCCACUAGCCGACUUUCCUGCUCCAUCAAGGCAUUGAGAUCUCACAUUACUUGACUUCAAGGUCGAUGACUCCAUUGUUUGGAUUUUAAUCCAAUCCAAUCCAUAAUACCCUUCCAUCAUGAUUCAUCAUGUGCUACCAAGUCAACUAAUGUUGUACGAGCAGUGCCCAUUUGUUCAUAUCUAACUUUAUCGAGAGUGCGAAUCCAACCAUUAUAAUGGUUGGAACUCUCGUGUACGGUCUGCUGACAUCUCUCCUCUAACUCUUCAAUAUAUACUUAUCCAAUAGUAUUUGUACCUAAUUUCAAAGCAAUAUUAUGAUUGCGUGUUUGAAAACAAUUCUUCUAAAUUUGAAUAAAUGACAAUUGCACUAAAAUUCACAUUCUUCCCUAUAGAAAGACACUUUAAAUAUUUUUGGGAUCAUACAUUCAUUCAAAAUGACGUCCUCACGCACUUCAUAAAUAGUAUGUAAUUACGAAUCUUUGGCAGAUAAGACUUCAAAAUAUACAUUUUCGAUAAACUAUUCUUGAAACUCUCUAAAUUUCGCGAUUGUGUACGCUAAUGAGAACUGCUUCUCCAUUUUGUGCCUUGUCGCACACGAAACCAUUUGUGAAAAUGAUUUGAUAUCAGCCUGAAACUUAUUAUAAACUUUACUUUUCAAUGCACACUCAUAUUGCUCUACAAGAUGCUCAAGUGAUGUUUUAGAAUGAACACAUAAAAAAUACAUUAAUGCUCUCACUUCGUUGAGUGGUCGACAUGCCGGCCCAAAAUGAGGUUUUCAAAAAAUAUGGUACCCAUCAACUUCUCUCAUUGUAUAGUCUAGUCAACCAACCAUGUUCUAUUAAUUUAUAAUCUUUGAGCAUUCCAGUCCAAUAUUACCCAAACUCCUCACAACCUUGUAUAUUGUAUACCAGCCCAUGCACAUUAGAAAGAAUAGAAGCUUUAGGAUUUCGUUGCUAAAUUUUUCUAGUAACUUCUUCAAAAUACACCACAAGCACCAUCUAUGCUUGGCAUUCGAAAAGACAAUUUCAAUUGCAUUUUGUAUAACUCGAUCUUGAUCUAUAAUAAUUCCAUUUGGAGUUUUAUCAUGCGUACAUUCUAGCCAUGUCCUAAGUGGCCAUAUAGAAGUUCUUGCAUCCUUAUUUGAAAUCAAACCACAUCCAAGUAGAAUUGUUUGUCUAUGGUGAUUUAUCCCAACAAAAGGAGCGAAUGUCAUAUCAUACUUAUUAGUCAAGUAUGUGGUGUCAAAUGUGACCACAUCAUCAAAUUCAUUACACGCUUCUCUACAACUGUUAUUUGCGCAAAACACGUUCUUGAGAUGGCCUCAUCAUCCAAGUUUAUACUGAAAUAGAACUAGGACUGCUUGUUUGCAUCUUCAAGAAGUACGCUUGUAUGACAACAGCGUCUCCUUCAUCAAGUCUUAAUCGACGAACUUUGUCAAUGAAGUUUCUAGUCUUUCUCAACAUUUGUCAUAUUGUCAUAACCACCGGCUUUAACUAUUGCUGAGUUAAAACUCUUGUGCAACGGUAUACUAGCAAUGUCAUUUAUUUCGAACUGUUGUUUCACACGUGCAUUGAUACACCUUUGAUUUUGAUGGGGUUGUUAUGUGAUUGUGCUCAAAAUGGACAGUAUUAAUAAUCCACUUUCUAUUAAGUUUAGAACAUGCUGUCAAUUUUGCUUUACACUUGGUUUGGAUGGUUGGUUGAGGCUUCGACAAGCAUUUGUAUCAUUGGUUCAACGGCCUUCCCGACUGUACGUCAAAGUUAUAUAACAUAAAACCACAUCAUUUUUUCUAGCAAGAAACUCGAUUUGGAAUGCAUAGUUCUUGCAAAAUUCAAAAUAACUCAUUUUAAUCAUUAAACUUUAUUUUAACAUUCGGCACAAUAAUGUCAAUUUCUACCCCUAAGCAUUUACUAUUUGGAUUGUCGUCUUCGGAUCAAAGAAUUUCUAAAUAUCCCGCAUUUAUGAAAAAAAUACCAUAAUCAAUUCUAAUCGCUAAAGAAACUAAAGGAAAAUAGAGCAUCAAAUUUUUACCACUACAAAAGCAUCAAGCCAUAUAAUGUGACUAGAAAACCUAGACAUAUUAUCGCAAAUAUUUACCGGAGAAUAAUUAACUUUGUAUCUAAAUUAUGUAGACCCCAAUCAUAAAGCUUCAUCUGUGGAGUAUCGAUGUUCAUUACUUUCCUUUCCAUUUAAAAGUAAAAAAAAAAUGAUAGAAAAAAAAAUAAAUGCCAUAGAACUGUGAAGACGAAAAUGCACAUCUUCACCAAUCUUUCUUCUAAUAACUAUUUCAACAUUUUCAAUUUAAUAUUUCAAUGUUUCAUAAAACUAUUUUAGAGCACAUUUCAAGCAUAAUAACAUUACAAUAAGAUUUUAAAGUUAAAAAUAAAAUAAAAUUAAGCACAACAACUAUUUCCCUCAAAUGAAAUGAGGUUAAGGAGAUAUUUUUCACGUUGCCAUUAGCGUCAAAGUAUCGUACUUUAAUAUAGUUUACAGCUCUGUCGCUACAGCGUCUAGGAUCAAUUGCACGUGAUGGGGAUAAGAACGCCGAGUUCACCAUCGUGUCAACAAUGAUGUUGACAUUGUCGACAUCGCCGAGUUCUCACAUCCAUAUAUUUCCGUUCCUCAAAUGAGUUUCAAACGAGUUGAAAUGAAUGAGGGCUUAUAUGGCUAGAGAUGACAACUCUUAUUUUUUUUUUUUUUAUGAGGAAAUUACCAAAAUAGUCAACUUUUGGCUUUGUAUUUACAAAAAUGUCAUUUUUUUAAAAUCUUUGCAAAAUUAUCAAUUUUGGAUAUUUUUUCCUCUCUUAAAAAUUCAAAUACAGUACACAUUCUUGAGUUGACAACAUAAAAAGUUGUACAAAAAGUGGAGAAAAUGUGACAAUCAAUCACCUCACAAUUGUACUUCAAAGUCCUUACAAUAUAUAUAUAUAUAUAUAUAUAUAUAUAUAGCAAAAAAAUUUAAUUAUUAACUCAUUCAUUUUUCUCCUUUUCUUUGUGAAAUUUCCCCUUUCUCUUUUCUUCUUUUUUUAUAGUUCCUCUCUUGAUUCUUUGAAAACUAUAUGGAGUGCAAAUUCUUAUAUUGAGAUCCCGUUUAUUACGUCAAUAUAGAAGGAAGAAGAAUAUCUUAGGUAAUGUUUCGAAUAUAUGCAUUUUUUCAAUCAAUUGAAAGUUUUGUUUCAAGUUUUUUACUAUUGUUCCUUUUUUUUUUUUUUUUUUUUUUUUUUUUUUUUUUUUCCCCUUCAAUUUUUUUUUUUAAUAGCAAAAUUGACGAAAGGAUUGAUUAUAUUGCACCAUCAAUUUUGAGUUUUCUACAUCUAGACUAUAAGUUAGAUUGUUCUUUGUUUUGAGUUUGACUUUAUUUGGAGAGUUCAUUUACAGGUAAUUUGGAUUUCUCCAUUUUUUUGGGGUUUAUAUUUUUUUGGGCAUUUUAAUUUUUUCUAAAUUUUUUUGGAUGUUAUGUAUGAUUUUUUUUAUAUUUUUCCAAAUAAAUAUAUCACGUUCUGUCAAUUUUUUACUUCAUAUUUCUUUGAAUUUAUUUGGUUUGUAGAAGCUGAUUGUUGUAUUAUACUUAUCAUUCCAAUCUAUCUUAUUUAUUAUAUUUUUCUAAGUUAGGCACGGGUAUCAAAUCUUCUAAGCGAAUUGUUUAAUUUGUUACAAUUAAAGUGUGUUUAGUUAUGAAUUCUGAACACACAAGAACUUCUCGAAAGAUUAGUUAUGUGACCCAUCUGUCGCGAUAAACUAUCGUUCCCGACAGUUCGUGUCAGUUCGACAGAUGAGUCAUCUUUCGAUAUGAACUGUUUUUUUCGACAAUUAAAUGCAGUAUUUCUCAAACAUUAUAGUUUAUUUUUUGAUUUCUUAUAAGUGUGUUUAGCAUUAACAUCUGAAGAAUUUAUAAUUUUAAAUACACUCAUCUCAUCUCGUAAUAUGCAAACUAUAAAUAUUGAAUUCAUAUCCAUUAGUAUUGUAAUUGUUGUUUUCAAUUAGAUGGAGGAGGCAUUAACUCAUACUCGGAUAAUCAUGUGGGUCAAUUGCCUAGUGGGAACCAAGGGGUGAACGGUAUGUGCAUUAAUUAUGAGAAAUUCAAAAUUUUUAAUACUCUUAUGUUAUUCUGUAAUUUGCAAACUAGAAAUAAUGAACUCAUGUUGAUUAGUGUUGCAAGUGUUGUUUUCAAAUAGAUGGAGGAGUCAUAGAGCUUGAAGUGUCAUGCCUGGACAACGAGAAAGUUCCCUCAACUUGUAGCUCGACGGAUGCGGUCAUCAUACCUAUUGAAAGUAACGAUGUUGUUAACACAAAAAGGCAAUGAUCGACACACAUUCGAUUUCUUGCAGCAUCUACUAGAACUCCAUACAUUAAGGAAAUGAGAAAAAGAAAUAGCGUGACGAAAUUUGUUAAUACUACAUUAGAAUUGAUUUAUGUAUCAAAUGACCUCUUUUUGCUACUCGCCAAGAAUGUGGUUAUAAACAUUAUUUGGUGGUUACAUCCACAUGUGGUAAUACAUUUUAUCAUUUAUCGUUUUUCAUACUUGUUGGAUUGUUCAAUUAGGACGAAAAAAAUGUUGAAUUAUGUAUUAUAGUUUUGUCAUGGAUAAAUAUAGUAACAUCUUUAUCAAAUGUUCUGCAACAGCUUAUCUCCUAUGCAUCUUAUUUAUAGUUACAUUUUCUGCUCACACCCAACUGUCGAGAAUGAUAGGACCCUUCUAUUGGGACCGAUAGUUUAACUGUUAGGAUAUUAUGCAAUGUCUAUAAAUGAUAAUAAAAUGCUAAUAAUAAUUUAAGUUGACAAUGUGUUCGGGAACAUGUCCCUUAUACAUUUUUUUAUAGUCAAAUUUUCUAUUUUGCAACCAUUUUUCGAGAAUGAUAGAAUCCUUUUAUCGGAUGGUAUGCAAUUUUUAUCUAUGUAAUUAUUUUGCUUGUGAACUUAAACAUGACUAAUAUGUGCAAACAGUAAUAAAAUGAUAAUGAUAAUAUAAUUUCAAAAUGUACAACGCUAUCAGGGCAACAUUCAGUAUACAACUUCAACUCAUUUUAGAUAUCAAGCCAAUUUAAAUGAGUUGUGUUAAAUGAGUUGUGUUAGAAUGGGGUUGGAACACAUGGUUCGGUUAUGGUCAAUUCUACCAUAACGAGUGCAUAGGGUAAUACUUGUCGGAACUAAAACGAAAGUGGUUCUGUCCAUUCUCCACUUUUAUUCAUCAUCCACAUAAACAAACUUUUCCCCGUGUGACACAAUGAAUCUCAAAUGAUUACUAGAGAUUGCAAUGGUAAAAACUCUGCACAAUCAAUAUGUAGACUUUUAAUAGCAUGAAAGUGACACUUUUAAAUAUUUAAAUCCAUUCAAUAACAAAAGGUGAAAUAAAUGGUUGAAUCUCAACAGUUAAAUUAUUUAUCCCGACAUUUUCUAAAUGUCAAGUUCGACAAUUAAGAUAUCUAAUAUGACGAUUUCAAAAUGUCGAAUUCGAUAAUUGAACUAUCGAAAUUGUCGAAAACCUUGAAAACAUGUAUUUGGUACCUUGAAAGAAAUUAUUCAAAGCAUUAAUGGUGAUAAUCAAUUCUCAACAGCAACAUCACAACAUCUUCCCAAAAAUAAAUAAAGAAUAACUUAAUAGUUAAUUAAUUAUAGAAUCCUUAAUAUUUUAUAAAGGAUGUUAAUAUCUUUUUUCUUUAAAAAUAUAUCAAGAAUCAAACGAAUCAAUGAAUAAGAGUUUCAAAAAUUUCAAAUAAAUAUGACUAUAUUCUAUUUAAUAUUUAAAAAAUAGUAAGUUAUAAGAUGAAAAUAUAAAUAAUUUCUAAUAGCUAACUUUUAAAAAUAUAUGAUGAAUCUAAUAUCUUUUUGAUGAUGAAAUGAAGAAGAUGGAUAAGAACUUAGGGUUUGUGAAUGGUAAGAAGUUAUGCGUGUUUUUUUUACCAAAAUUCAUACUAUCCAAUAUAAUAAUCAUAUCUUUAAUAAUUACAAUAUAAAAAAAAAUCAUCACAUCACAACAUUAAUGACUUUCAAAUCAAGCAUUAAAUGAUCCUAAAAUGGUCACUAAGGGUAAUAUGGACUUUUUACAUCAAAAAAGUGACAUUUUUGACCAAAUUUAUUGCAAAUGAAUUUUAUUUUACUUAUUUAUAUUUUUUUUGACGUAUUUUCAAAUUCAGUGGCAGUUAUGAAAAUUCCCUUUUAUUUAUUUGAUAUAUGAGAGAUUGGCUUUUUAAAAGUCUAGCCACGUCAGCACAUCUUAAAAAAAUAGCACAACGCAUAAUCUUGUAUCGUUUAAGCAGAAUUCAUCUAGCCAAUACGUUGAACUGCUAUUUUUUAUUGAUUUCUAGAGGGGUUCUUCCAGAUACAGGGUCCACAAAGGGCACUUUUAGCCCUUUUCACACACCUUUGAUCUUUUUCCAUUCAAGAAUCGUGGAAAAUCUUCUCAUGUUCUUCCAUUUCAUGAAUUUCUGGAUUUCUUACCGUCCGAUUCCACCAUUGGAUCGAUUUCUUUUGUUGAGAAGUACUGAUAGCUGAGGCCCCCCCCCCCCCCCCCCCCCCCAGGGUUUUUUUUUUGGGGUUUNNNNNNNNNNNNNNNNNNNNNNNNNNNNNNNNNNNNNNNNNNNNNNNNNNNNNNNNNNNNNNNNNNNNNNNNNNNNNNNNNNNNNNNNNNNNNNNNNNNNNNNNNNNNNNNNNNNNNNNNNNNNNNNNNNNNNNNNNNNNNNNNNNNNNCCACCACAAGGUUCUGAUUUGUAGGGUUUGGAGAAUUCGGUUGAUUUCGAUAGAAAAAGUAUCAAUUUUGUGCGUGGAUUCGGGGGAUGCUGCUUUAUUAUGAGUGGAUUUCAUGUGUUUAUUCAAAUUUUCCGAGUAUUCUGUAUUUCGAUUAUCUCUUACCAGGGUUAAUUCAAGUUUCAAUUGAAAAAUUGGAUCUGGGUGCUUGAGUUCGUUCAACUUAUUGAACUUUUUGCCAAGUGGAUUUGUUUAUAUAAAUUUGCUGAAAGUUUUCUUGUGGUGUGCAAAUAUUAAGAUUUGAUUUUGAUGUUGGGGCAUGGGAUUUUCAUGUGAAUUUGAUAAAAGUGAUGAAGGUGUAGAAAAAUUAGGGUCUUAACUAUUGGGAAUCAUAGAAAAGGAGGCCUUCAUUGAAUAGGCUUAAAAAUGAAAAGAGGGAAAGAUGAGGACAAAAUUAUGGUGCCAAUGUUUCCAAGGCUUCAUGUGAAUGAUACUGAUACGGGAGGGCCAAGAGCACCUCCAAGAAACAAGAUGGCCCUUUAUGAGCAGCUCAGCAUCCCUUCACAGAGAUUCGGCCAUGGGGUGUUGCCCUUCAACCCUACCUACACUUCUAACCUAGAGCCUUCUGCUUCUUCAAGUCAGGUGAGUGGAGAAUUCUGAUUUUUCGCUUAUAUUUUCGUAUCCUUGGUUUUCUUAAUUUGCUGUGAUACACAGACACACACAUCUCUAAACCUGCACAAGUAACACCAUAAGCUUGCAAAGGUAGCCGUUCAAGGUGGUCCAGUGACCAGUCGCCAUUUGCACUCCAGACGGCCAAGUUAGAAAAUAUAAUUUGAGUGCAAGAGAAACAAAAUGGACUGAGAUUUGGCUAGGGUUUUGAUUUUCAUACAUUUUCCUUUAUGUUGCAUGGGGAAUGUAUAAAUGAAAAAUUAGGUCAAGGCACUUUAGACCUUUUGUAUCUCCUGGACACGAGUUGUUCUCAAACUAGAGAGGAUUUUGAGUCUAGUACCUUACAUCCUCAUGUUACUUUUGCCAGUUUCUUUCUGAUUGUCAAGGUUAUUAUUAAUCAACCAAUUCUUGUUUCAAACUUUUUAAUGGUUUUAGCUUAUGUGGCAGUGAUCCUUCCACCAUGUUGCAAUAGGAUAUUCUACAAUCCUUUAUUUGAGACAAUUCUGAAGUCACAUGUUUUGUUCUUUGCUAGCUUUCUUUUAGAUUUCUACAAGGCAACCUGGUUCGCCAUUGUCAUGUUUCUAGGGCGAUGGUAAGGCUUGCUUUGUUUCACCUGGCUGGGAGGUCCGCUGGGGAAUGAAACCCUUUCAGAUAGCCUUUUCUCCUUUGGUGAGCUUGGUAGUAGCCUCGAUUCAAAGUGAUUGGUUCAUAGAACCAUGUGGGUUACCCCUUGUCGACGUGGGUGUAAGUGAUAUCUGGCCCUUGAUUCUAAUGUGGCUCACACUUGGGAUGAGGUAGUAACAAAUGGUUAAGAAAAUAUUUUAUUGGUGGAUUGAUUUUGUCAGUCUCCUUUUAGGCAUUAGGUUUAGCCUUUAUGUUGUAUUCUUGAAAGGUUGAUUUUUUCUUCUCUUUUCUGUCUUUUUUCUUUUUUGCUUUUUUUUAACUCUUAAUUCAAGUUUAAGUCAUGACAGAGAAAGAUAUCCUUGAAAGUUGAAACUUCGUACACAUAAUAUUGUACUAAAAAAGCAUGAAUUUAUUGGGGUUUUAAUUAUUGUUGAUUGAAGACAGAAGGAAAGAAGAAAGACAGAACAAGAAACCCUUUAAAAGUACAGUUAAUGUGACAUGGCAUGCACCUCUAUGCCUGGCUUCCUUUGCUGGCUUUAUAAAUUGAAUUAUAAUUGUGAUUGCUGCUAAGUAGUUGUGCAUUCAGGGGACCGGGAAGGAAAGGAGUAAGUUUUUCUCACGUCAGCUGCCUCCUAGACAUCAAGCUGAAAAGUCACACAGCCAAUAUUCAAAUUUGAGUACCGUGUUAACACAAGUUCAGCAGAAAAAGAAGUUAGAUGAAGAUGAUUUUACAGUUCCCAUCUUCACUGAAUCCCAUCCAAAUCAAGAUCAUGAUAAAUAUUUUAGUAAUUUGGAUGCAAAAGAAUUCCCUCCCUCCAACUGUGACGAUACCAAUCACACAUUGAAAUUUCCAAAAGUUGCUGAUAACGAUCUAAAACAGACUAGCAUGGCUGUAGGAAGUAGCAAUCGAGGAGGAAAAUGCCUCAAAGAAGUGAAUACGAGAGAUUUUGUGGCUGCUCAGGAGCAGAUGGAUAAAGCCCUCUUAAAUUUAUCAUCAAUAAAUAAAACUGAAGGUCAGAGGAAACAAAUUGAUGGGUCUCAGUCUGAUGAACCAAGAGAUAAUCCAGCUAAUAGUAUCGUCAGAUUACAAAAGGUUGAUAAUAAUAUAAUUCCAGAGUUGUUUGCCAAGUCACAACCUGCAGGCUUUGUCCACAGUAAUGAUGUUAUGAGGGAGUCUAGUUUCAGCAUAAAUAAUAGACAUUCUUCUUCGUUCAGGGAUUUCCUGUUAGAAGAGCAAAAUAUUAUUCAUGAUCUGAGUGAUAUGACUUCACAUGAAAAAAGUUCAUGUAGCUCGCCACAAACGGAAAAUAUUGACAUGGGCGACAGUGUGUCUGAGACUUCUAUGGUGGAUUCUUUAUCUGGACUGGAUAUAUCUCCUGAUGAUGUCGUAGGAAAAAUAGGCCAGAAACAUUUCUGGAAUGCCAGGCGAGCUAUUACCAAGUAAGUUCUUCCCUUUAACGUAUGUCUAAAAUUGUGCCUUUUGGAGGAUUUGAAUUGAAGAAAUAUUAAUUCCAAAGAUUGUGACAUUUUCUAAUACUUCCCUUCCAUGUAAAUGAUUAUCAAUUAGGUGGCUUGUUAGAAUUGUACAAGACAAUGUUUAGGUAAGAGAUUAUUCAAAAAUUGAGAAUAAUUUGUGUAUCCGCAAUGAUAAGUAACUUUUCUUCCAUUAGCUGGUCUUAAAGUUUCCUGGUGGUGGUAAUUAUAAUCUAGUGAAAUAUACAAAAUGUUCAGCUACUUAAAUAGUGCCAUAAAGAACAAAGAUCUGAAAUUUUAAAUCCCUGACAGAGUGAAGACAAGAAAAAUUAAAAUGUCAGGUAGAAGAAAAGGCUUAAAUAGCACUUGGGAUCCUGAACCUUUAAAACGUUUGUGACCAACAACCUUUUUACAUGAAAAUCAUCAUUUUGACCUUUACAAGGUCAAUUUCUUAUUAAAAUCACUAUCCUGCCCUUAAUUUAGUAACUUAAAAAAAUAAAGAAAAAGAAGAAACAAAAUCUAAUUUCGAAGAGAACACCAAACCAAUAUGACAAUUCCUCCACCCCGUUAGCGGCGAUGAGACUUAUCCACUCUCCACCAGCUAAACCUGCCCAAACCCAUCACCUGCCGCACACCGGCUAUGAAGCCAACCACCCACACACUCGCACACUCCGUCCUGGUCUGCAUCACUGCUGUCCACAUCCGAAAUACAAAUCUUCUAUUUCCGUUGAUUUCCUGAACUGGGGAAUGAACACGUGAA